AGCUCCAAUAGCGUAUAUUAAAGUUGUUGCAGUUAAAAAGCUCGUAGUUGAACUUUGGGCCCGGUUGGCCGGUCCGAUUUUUUCGUGUACUGGAUUUCCAACGGGGCCUUUCCUUCUGGCUAACCUUGAGUCCUUGUGGCUCUUGGCGAACCGGGACUUUUACUUUGAAAAAAUUAGAGUGUUCAAAGCAGGCGUAUUGCUCGAAUAUAUUAGCAUGGAAUAAUAGAAUAGGACGUUUGGUUCUAUUUUGUUGGUUUCUAGGACCAUCGUAAUGAUUAAUAGGGACGGUCGGGGGCAUCAGUAUUCAAUUGUCAGAGGUGAAAUUCUUGGAUUUAUUGAAGACUAACUACUGCGAAAGCAUUUGCCAAGGACGUUUUCA
rnacentral:rRNA from 1 species